AUUGAACGCUGGCGGCGUGCCUAACACAUGCAAGUCGAGCGGUAACAGGUGUAGCAAUACAUGCUGACGAGCGGCGGACGGGUGAGUAACGCUUGGGAAUCUGCCUAUUAGUGGGGGACAACCCGGGGAAACUCGGGCUAAUACCGCAUACGCUCUACGGAGGAAAGCCGGGGACCGCAAGGCCUGGCGCUAAUAGAUGAGCCCAAGUCGGAUUAGCUAGUUGGUAGGGUAAUGGCCUACCAAGGCGACGAUCCGUAACUGGUCUGAGAGGACGACCAGUCACACCGGAACUGAGACACGGUCCGGACUCCUACGGGAGGCAGCAGUGGGGAAUAUUGGACAAUGGGCGAAAGCCUGAUCCAGCGACGCCGCGUGGGUGAAGAAGGCCUGCGGGUUGUAAAGCCCUUUCAGUGGGGAAGAAAAGCCUCGACCUAACACGUCGGGGUCUUGACGUAACCCAUAGAAGAAGCACCGGCUAACUCUGUGCCAGCAGCCG
rnacentral:rRNA from 1 species